rnacentral:rRNA from 1 species
UACGAAGGGGGCGAGCGUUGUUCGGAAUUACUGGGCGUAAAGCGCGUGUAGGCGGGCAGUUAAGUCGGGGGUGAAAGCCCAGAGCUCAACUCUGGAAAUGCCUUCGAUACUGGCGGUCUGGAGCUUGAUAGAGGCGAGUGGAAUUGGGAGUGUAGAGGUGAAAUUCGUAGAUAUUUGCAGGAACACCAGUGGCGAAGGCGACUCGCUAGAUCGUUGCUGACGCUGUGACGCGAAAGCGUGGGGCGCAAACAGG